GGAGCCAAGACUCGGGUUAGAACGGUUGGAGGAGACUCGGAACAUUUCCCAGUUGAGAUGGGGUUGCACCAGGGAUCAGUCCUUAGCCCUUUUCUAUUUGCUUUGGUGAUGGACGAAUUGACGCAGUAUAUUCAGGAGAGGGUCCCAUGGUGUAUGUUAUUUGCGGAUGACAUAGUACUGAUUGAUGAGACGCGGGACAGAGUUAAUGCGCGGUUGGAGGUGUGGAGACAAACGCUGGAGUCCAAAGGGUUCAGGUUGAGUAGGACCAAAACAGAAUAUUUGGGGUGCAAAUUCAGUGAUGCAUUGGAUGAGGCAGAUGUGGAUGUGAGACUUGCCACACAGAUCAUUUAAGAAAGAAAGUUUUAAGUAUCUUGGGUCUGUAAUCUAAGGGAAGCCAUUCAUCUUAUGCGAAGACUGGUAGAAAAAUAAAGAGAAAGGAAGAGGGACCUACAUAUGGUGUUCAUUGACCUUGAAAAGGCCUAUGACAAAGUACCGAGGAAUGUCCUCUGAAGGUGCUUGGAGGCUAAAGGUGUCCCGAUGAUUUAUAUUAGGGCGAUAAAGGACAUGUACGGUGGAGCCAAGACUCGGGUUAGAACGGUUGGAGGAGACUCGGAACAUUUCCCAGUUGAGAUGGGGCUGGACCAAGGAUCAGUCCUUAGCCCUUUUCUAUUUGCUUUGGUGAUGGAUGAGUUGACGCGGUCUAUUCAGGAGAAGGUCCCAUGGUGUAUGUUAUUUGCGGAUGACAUAGUACUGAUUGAUGAGACGCGGGACAGAGUUAAUGCGAGGUUGGAGGUGUGGAGACAAACGCUGGAGUCCAAAGGGUUCAGGUUGAGUAGGACCAAAUCAGAAUAUUUGGGGUG
rnacentral:lncRNA from 1 species